rnacentral:rRNA from 1 species
UACGUAGGGGGCAAGCGUUAUCCGGAUUUACUGGGUGUAAAGGGAGCGUAGACGGACCUGCAAGUCUGAUGUGAAAACCCGCGGCUCAACUGCGGGACUGCAUUGGAAACUGCAGAUCUGGAGUAUCGGAGAGGCAAGCGGAAUUCCUGGUGUAGCGGUGAAAUGCGUAGAUAUCAGGAGGAACACCGGUGGCGAAGGCGGCUUGCUGGACGAUAACUGACGUUGAGGCUCGAAAGCGUGGGGAG